AUUCAUCAUCAGGAUUCUCUCUCUUUUUAAAAAAUUCUGGUUAAAAUAUGGUUGUUGUUUGAGUCACAUUAUGUUCUGACAUCACUGUUUCAUCAACCCCUUUAUAACUUUAUUCAAAUAGAUCGCACAGCAGAGGACCUCCAAGGCAGACAUCAGGAGAAACGGAGUCAAAGCAAGAUGUGCCCCAGAGACCUCCUUGGGCGA
rnacentral:lncRNA from 1 species